CUUUACCUGGGAUCCACCUGCGGGAGCGGCUCUAUUGGAGUUGUGGAGACCUGAGGCUGCAGCACAGGCUGCUCUGUCUCCUUCACUGGAACAGGAGAGUGUUUUUCUACAUUCAGGACAAAGUUGGUGCUGGAUGAAACCUGGGACAAGGUUAGCCGGGACAAUCUGGAAGAGACUGAGGUGAAAGAGUCGCUAUCUCUUAUUUCCGGAAAAAAGACAAAGUUAGCCUCAUAUCCUCUCUCUUGUCAGUGGACACAGAAAGAUGACUUGUGAGACACGAAAAGGAAGCAGAGUUGACAACAGGACUCACAGGUCACCACCUGAAAAGCUGCAGAGGCUGAUGUGUGUGUGUCUGUGUGCAAAAGACAAAGGAAAGGACCAUAAAGUUCAACUAUCAAGUAUGAAGAAAAUAGAGGGAUUUAAAAGCACGGGAGAAUGCUUGUACAGGGAGACUCCCACUAGGCCGAAAGGAGCGACACAAAGAGACGUGAAAAGAGCAGAGCACAGCCAGGACGCUUCAGCAGGUCUGAGGCCCAGAGGAGGAGAGAGGACUAGGAGAAGGGCCGUGGUCUAGAGACAGAGGUCCAUCCAUCACACAUGUCCUGACCUCUGCUUGACCCCAGCAUGGCAGCCAAUGAGGCGCCCUCACCCCCUAAAGAAAGGAGCCCCCCACCACACACACAUAGACACCCACACACACUUAUCUACCCACACAAACACACAGACACACACACACACACACAGAAGAGAUCGGGUGACACUGAGUGGAGUCUGGAUGCUCUUUGUGUUGGCCAUUGUCGCUUCCCAGAAUCCUUUGUUUUUUACGUGACUAAUCAGGUGUCUGGAGGGUGGAGCCUUAUCCAGAUCACCUAGUUGGAAGCACCUGGGUCCAGUGUUUCUGUUUCUAACCCUCUCCCUUUGUGCUGUCCAAUUUGCUCCUGUGACGCUGAAAAUUUCCAGAGAAUGGGACUAAUAAAGGAAGAUCUUAUCCCAUUUAUUAUUCUUUUCUGUUAGUUAUAUCAUUUUGUUGUUAAUAAAUCUAUUAUUGCUU